rnacentral:rRNA from 1 species
GACAGAGGCCUCAAGCGUUAGGCGGAAUCACUGGGCUUAAAGCGUGUGUAGGCGGAUCGUUAAGUGUCUUGUGAAAUCCCCGGGCUCAACCCGGGAACUGCGUCCGAUACUGGCAGGCUUGAAUUCGGGAGAGGGAUGCGGAAUUCCAGGUGUAGCGGUGAAAUGCGUAGAUAUCUGGAGGAACACCGGUGGCGAAGGCGGCAUCCUGGACCGAGAUUGACGCUGAGGCGCGAAAGCCAGGGGAGCAAACGGG